rnacentral:rRNA from 1 species
UACAGAGGUCUCAAGCGUUGUUCGGAUUCAUUGGGCGUAAAGGGUGUGUAGGUGGCGCGCUAAGUCGGGUGUGAAAUUUCGGAGCUUAACUCCGAAACUGCAUUCGAUACUGGCGUGCUUGAGGACUGGAGAGGAGACUGGAAUUCAUGGUGUAGCAGUGAAAUGCGUAGAGAUCAUGAGGAAGACCAGUGGCGAAGGCGGGUCUCUGGACAGUUCCUGACACUGAGGAGCGAAAGCGUGGGGAGCAAACAGG